UCGUCAGCUCGUGUCGUGAGAUGUUGGGUUAAGUCCCGCAACGAGCGCAACCCUUGCCUUUAGUUGCCAGCAUUAAGUUGGGCACUCUAGAGGGACUGCCAGGGAUAACCUGGAGGAAGGUGGGGAUGACGUCAAAUCAUCAUGCCCCUUAUGCUUAGGGCUACACACGUGCUACAAUGGGUGGUACAGAGGGCAGCCAAGUCGUGAGGCGGAGCUAAUCCCUUAAAGCCAUUCUCAGUUCGGAUUGUAGGCUGAAACUCGCCUACAUGAAGCUGGAGUUACUAGUAAUCGCAGAUCAGAAUGCUGCGGUGAAUGCGUUCCCGGGUCUUGUACACACCGCCAAUCACACCACGGAAGUUGGGGGCGCCCGAAGCCGGAUUGCUAACCUUUUGGAAGCGUCCGUCGAAGGUGAAAUCAAGAUAACUGGGGUGAAGUCGUAACAAGGUAGCCGUA
rnacentral:rRNA from 1 species